UCCCCUACAGAAUCGACCUAUCUACUUCAACAGGAGGCUAGCACCGACCAUGCUGAUUUCCUCCACAGAAGCCGUACUGCCCCCAUAGUCAGUUUUUCAUUCAAAUGGCUAGCUAAUUUGCUGAUUUGGUAUCAACUAAGAAAGGCAAAAUAUCAAAACGACCAAGGUCGGAUUGAAAUUAUACUAACAUGGCCAUGGCCAGUCGAAAAAUAUUCGGCUUGCCACC
rnacentral:lncRNA from 1 species